GUAGACAUCACCCAUAGUGAACAUUUUUCUUCUUGUUCCUAAAAUUGGAAUGAAAUGAGGAAUAACACAGAGAAGUAAGAAACAGAAGGAAAGAAGUAAGCUGAAGGAAACGUGGGAGGGAGAAGAUUUAAAAAGAAACUAAAAGAAAAAAGAAAAAAAAGAAGCAUAUCCAACUAGAUGACAGUUCAUCACAAACGACAACGGGCGGGCUGCUGAUGUAGGAAAGUUCCGAGGGAGGAAACGGUGCUAUAACCACAGGCAUUCACAGCCUACAUGUGUGAGUGAAGAACCAAAGGCUUAGGGAGGUAAUUUGUUCAACGUCUCAUAGGAUCCAAAUUUCAUUCCCAGAUCUAUCAGACUCAGGAUGAUUUUCAGUCAUCAGUUUGACAAAGGACGCCAGUGAGAUGCUAUUGGUAGUAUAGACCUUUUGCUCUUUAUUCCGGGAUAUUCUGCCCUUCUUUAUCUCAUUUCUUGCAAUUUCUCAAAACUUAUAAAGUAGGGCAACCAUAUCCAUACACGUCAACCCUGUUCCUGCCUCUGGGCUUGGCACAUGAAGGUACUUUAUUCUCCUGUGAGUGACCGUCUCUAGGCCUUUGCGACUGCUCCAUUAUCAUUUCAUAUCUCCCCUUUGCGUAUGCUUUCCCAUUCCUUAGUCCAAUCCUGGAGAUUAACACAGAGUCCAUUCCUUGCCAGCAUUGGUCUCCCAACACUCUUGCUCUGAAUCUCUUAAUCCAGGUUUUAAUUACACCUUAUAUAGUCUCAGUUACAUUCAGAUGUUCUACAUUUUUUCAUUAUAAGAUUAAAUAGUAGUGAUGCAUGAGAUUUCUG
rnacentral:lncRNA from 1 species